GUUACCACGUACGUUCCUAUGGGUUCGAGUGAGAGGAGGUAACUAAUGAGCCUUAUCAUAGAGCUCGCUCUUUCUAUUAUAGCGGAGAUGUUAUAGCUGGAAUUAUCUUGUAUUUCGUCUGCAUGGCGAUAGAUAGUAAGGAGUAGACCGACUGACUAGCCUAUAAACACCCGUUAAAUCUAAGAUACGUCAAAAAAAAGCCCUACUACGGCCAUAGUUAGGGGCUUUUUGGUGUUCUAAU
rnacentral:sRNA from 1 species